ensembl:lncRNA
CUCCUCCUCCUUCCCCUCCUCUCUUCUCCUCCCCCUCCCCUCUCCUCCCCUCCUCCUUAUGCUAAUCACGCCUCUCCUCUCCUUCCUCACCCGCCGUGCGUCUCUCUGCGCGCCGCCGUGACCGAGCACCGGAUCGGGGCGUCAGAAGAGUGAUUGGGGGGGAGAGCGGGGGAGAGAGGGGGAGGUGUACAGUUCGGUUCACCGUUUUCUCCGCACCGAGCCUCUCUGCGUUAUUGUGAACAUGAGGCGGCCGCUCGGCGCUCCGCGGACGGACGCGGCGUGUCGGCGCGCAGCAUAAAGGCGGAACCUGAGCCGAGCAGCGGAGCGGCGGAGCGGCGGCCCCGGAUCUGGAUCAGGAUCUGGAGGUUUUAAACAGCUGGAACCAGUUCAGUCCUGCGAUGGCUUCUCCUGUAAAAUGGAUGAUUUAAAGCAGAAACAAUGAAAACAAGGACACACAAAGAAUCGUUGUCGCUCUCCUAAUAUUGUUGCCCUGCUGCUGUUUCCCUACUGUUGUUGCCCUCACUAUCGUUGCCCUCCUCCUAUUGUUGCCAUCCUGUUGUUGCCCUCCUCCUCUUGUUGCCCUAUUGUUGUUGCCCUUCUAUUGUUGCCCUCCUGUUGUUGCCCUCACUAUCGUUGCCUUCCUCCUGUUGUUGCCCUCCUCCUAUUGUUGUCCUCCUGUUGUUUUACUGUUGUUGC